rnacentral:sRNA from 1 species
UUAAUGGUUUAGAUGAAGUCCUUAUGAGUCUUUGUGUUUGUAUCUUCUUACAAGGAAACACUACUUAGGCUUUUAGGAUAAGCUUGCGGUUUAAGUUCUUAUACUCAAUCAUACACUUGACAUCAAGUCAUAUUCGACUCCAAAACUCUAACCAAGCUUCUUCUUGCUUCUCAACGCUUUGAUGGUUUAGCCGAAGUCCAUAUGUCUUUGUCUUUGUAUCUUCUAACAAGGAAACACUACUUAGGCUUUUAGGAUAAGGUUGCCAUUUAAGUUCUUAUACUCAAUCAUACACAUGACAUCAAGUCAUAUUCGACUCCAAAACACUAACCAAGCUUCUUAUUGCUUCUCAAAGCUUUGAUGGUUUAGCCGAAGUCCAUAUGAGUAUUUGUCUUUGUAUCUGCUAACAAGGAAACACUACUUAGGCUUUUAGGAUAAGAUUGCGGUUUAAGUUCUUAUACUCAAUCAUACACAUGACAUCAAGUUAUAUGCGACUCCAAAACACUAACCAAGCUUCUUCUUGCUUCUCAAAGCUUUGAUGGUUGAGCCAAAGUCCAUAUGAGUCUUUAUCUUUGUAUCUUCUAACAAGGAAACACUACUUCGACCUUUAGGAUAAGGUUGCCGUUUAAGUUCUUAUACUCAAUCAUACACAUGACAUCAAGUCAUAUCGACUCCAAAACAAUAACCAAGCUUCUUCUUGCUUCUCAAAGCUUUGAUGGUUUUUGCCAAAGUCCAUAUGAGUCUUUGUAUUUGUAUCUUCUAACAAGGAAACACUACUUAGGCUUUUAGGAUAAGAUUGCGGUUUAAGUUCUUAUACUCAAUCAUACACAUGACAUCAAGUCAUAUUCGACUCCAAAACACUAACCAAGCUUCUUCAUAUUCUUAAUCCAUGUCUAACUCUUAUAAUUAGUCAAAAGCAUUAGAUUGUGACACAUUUUGACCAUAGAAACACUAACAAAGCUAUUUAGUGCUUCUAAGCAAUGUUUUGUUAGUUUUAACCUCUUUUGGAACAAAUUAGAUAUAAGUGUUGUUUAAACACUCAUAAUCCAUCUCCAACCCUUAUUAUUAGUCAAAUGCAUUGGAUUGUGAUAGAUUUUGACCAUAGAAACACUAAGAAAGCUUUU